rnacentral:rRNA from 1 species
GACGAACGCUGGCGGCGUGCUUAACACAUGCAAGUCGAACGGAAAGGCCCUGCUUUUGUGGGGUGCUCGAGUGGCGAACGGGUGAGUAACACGUGAGUAACCUGCCCUUGACUUUGGGAUAACUUCAGGAAACUGGGGCUAAUACCGGAUAGGAGCUCCUGCUGCAUGGUGGGGGUUGGAAAGUUUCGGCGGCUGGGGAUGGACUCGCGGCUUAUCAGCUUGUUGGUGGGGUAGUGGCUUACCAAGGCUUUGACGGGUAGCCGGCCUGAGAGGGUGACCGGCCACAUUGGGACUGAGAUACGGCCCAGACUCCUACGGGAGGCAGCAGUGGGGAAUAUUGCACAAUGGGCGGAAGCCUGAUGCAGCAACGCCGCGUGCGGGAUGACGGCCUUCGGGUUGUAAACCGCUUUCGCCUGUGACGAAGCGUGAGUGACGGUAAUGGGUAAAGAAGCACCGGCUAACUACGUGCCAGCAGCCGCGGUGAUACGUAGGGUGCGAGCGUUGUCCGGAUUUAUUGGGCGUAAAGGGCUCGUAGGUGGUUGAUCGCGUCGGAAGUGUAAUCUUGGGGCUUAACCCUGAGCGUGCUUUCGAUACGGGUUGACUUGAGGAAGGGUAGGGGAGAAUGGAAUUCCUGGUGGAGCGGUGGAAUGCGCAGAUAUCAGGAGGAACACCAGUGGCGAAGGCGGUUCUCUGGGCCUUUCCUGACGCUGAGGAGCGAAAGGCGUGGGGAGCGAACAGGCUUAGAUACCCUGGUAGUCCACGCUGUAAACGGUGAGUACUAGGUGUGGGGUCCAUUCCACGGGUUCCGUGCCGUAGCUAACGCUUUAAGUACCCCGCCUGGGGAGUACGGCCGCAAGGCUAAAACUCAAAGGAAUUGACGGGGCCCCGCACAAGCGGCGGAGCAUGCGGAUUAAUUCGAUGCAACGCGUAGAACCUUACCUGGGUUUGACAUGGAUCGGGAGUGCUCAGAGAUGGGUGUGCCUCUUUUGGGGUCGGUUCACAGGUGGUGCAUGCCUGUCGUCAGCUCGUGUCGUGAGAUGUUGGGUUAAGUCCCGCAACGAGCGCAACCCUUGUUCACUGUUGCCAGCACGUUAUGGUGGGGACUCAGUGGAGACCGCCGGGGUCAACUCGGAGGAAGGUGGGGAUGACGUCAAGUCAUCAUGCCCCUUAUGUCCAGGGCUUCACGCAUGCUACAAUGGCUGGUACAGAGAGUGGCGAGCCUGUGAGGGUGAGCGAAUCUCGGAAAGCCGGUCUCAGUUCGGAUUGGGGUCUGCAACUCGACCUCAUGAAGUCGGAGUCGCUAGUAAUCGCAGAUCAGCAACGCUGCGGUGAAUACGUUCCCGGGGCU